UGCGCUCGGCGGCCUCGUUCUGAAGUAGCCGCGCGCUCUGCAAACUCUGCGCGUGCCGCCUGUCUCCCGGGAAGUGCUGAAGGGCAGCGCGGUGGCGGCAGCAUUUGCAUCUACUGGUGGUGCACAUCCACCCAUCUUAGUGCACGUAACAAAAUGUAUUCUGCACAUGGAUGGACAAAGUUAGAAAGAAAGUUUUAAGUUAGGUUCACCACAAGCCAGCAGCUCUCAACCAGUUUCUGCUUCCAGCUAUUGUCGAGGGAAUCUCUUAUUGGACCAGCUUCCUUCAGAGAAUCCACCGAGGAGAGAAACCCUUCAACUCCUGAUUGUGGGAAAAGCUUCAGUCAGAAGGGACAGAGGAGAGAAACCUUGUAAUUGCUCUGACAGGAAAAAGGUUCAAUCGGAGCAACUAGGUUUUGGAACACCAGACAACCAACAAGCUCUCUCGACAGUUGCUGCUGAAGCCUAGUGAUCACCUUUAACCUGCCAGCAUCAGUACUUCCCAGCUGACAAGCAGGGAGAAGGACAGUCCUAGGGAAGCUGGGAGACCCACCAGUGACAGCUCCCUGCUGUGUCUGGAGCAACAGGGCCACGGAAUGUACCACCCCUUGCUGUUCCCCAGGGGGACCCCGAAACAGACCAUCCUGUGCACUUGCCUCGGGGGUGCACGGGAGAGGGAGGAGUCAGAUCUCACUCAGUGCCUCGGCAGCUGUCUACCCACGGCCCUGCUCCGUGCCAACGCAUGGGACUGUGCGGCAGUUUGGCCCACGGAGGUUGUGGGGGGGCUGCGCCCACAAGGAACGCAUUUGAGCAGCUGCUCAUGCUCCAGGAGCCUGGUGGGACAUAUGGUUCGUGCCCUGUAGCCGCAGCUCCCCAUUCGCAGCCCAUUGGGACUCGCCCAGGCUGGAUACUCGAGGCCGGGGGUCUGGUUAAUCGCUUUUAUUUCCGCGAGUGCUGUACAGUCACCUCAGUCGCCCGCCACCAGGUGUGCCUGCUGUACAGAUCUGCCUUGCGCCCGCUGUGCUCUCGUGCUGUGGGGCGAGGCCCAAAUAAAUUACCCGUGUCCCCGUGCAGUGCCCCCAGGCACCGUGCUGGAGAGGGUCGCGAUCAGCCCUGGUGUCUUGCUCCUUACGGUGCCAGGGCAAAAAACACAAAGUCCCCUGCGCCGGGAGAGUGUCAGAUUUGGAAUGCAAGCCAUGGCGUGACGGCCUCUGCGUGCGGCUCGGAGUUGGGCACCGCUGCCCAGGAAGCUGGUUUCACCCUUGUGCCUGGGCGGGAGGUCUCAGCAUGGCAUGGCAGCCUCCGAAGGCAGAGGGCAGCACCUGCGGGGUAGGGCCACGCGUUAGGAAUGGCUAAUGCCCCG